UCUGCCUCCUCCGUCCAGGUAGCACGGUGCCAAUCCAAAUCUCUUCUCUCCGCGACCACAUCGCCGCCGCCACCUCUGAUUCUGGCUAGCUCCGGCACUUGCUGCGCCGCCACUCACCGGAACGGCUACCCUCACUGCCCUCCUCCGAUCCCCCGCCAUGGUGACGUCCUUCAUGCGGCCAUGCCCCUACAUACGACCCCCAGCAACCCUAGUUGCCACAGCUCGCAAGCACCCGCGCCUCCUCCGGUUUGUCGGCCUACUGCCACACCCACGUCUGCACAUGCGCCGCUCCCGGGCCGGCCUUGGUGGGCUGCUCCGCCUCAGCAAUCUGAACUCCAACGCCAGGGCGGAUUCUUUGCCUGCCAUCGUGACGAUGAUCGACGCUACCUUGAUCGCUCAUCUUGAUCCACCGCCGUCGGUGCUGGCUUGCACCGGCAUCAAUGUCACUACACUUCUGAAAUCAGAGGAUGCCUAGCAUGACGGUAAUGAUCUGCGCAGGGUAUUGUUAAGCGGAGAGGCGGAAGACUUCAAGUGGUAGUAUCGAAACAUCAGAUCACUGGUGGGGUGUUGUCUGCUGGAAACAAUUCGCCUAGAGGGGAAAGGAUGGUCAUUGUACUGUAGGUGAGACGAUCGAGGGCGAGGCACACGUGAGUUGGGAGGAAACAGUUGCAGCUAGGUUAAAGGAAGGGCUGAGUACGAUCAAUCCAGUGUGGUUAUAGGUGUCGGGCUGUCGGCCUCAAGCUUGUUGUCAAAGACGUGCUCUUGCAGAGAACAAGAGUAAUGCUUUUAAUUAUCACCAACGCAUCAAUGCAAUGCAAGGAUACCAGAAUGUGGGUUGCUUUAGAUUUGCCUUGAGGAACUGGCGACAAAAUACACUGAAACCAGGUUUGUUAAAAUUAUCUCCACGAAUUAUAUUCCCAACUACCCAUAUAGGAUGUUGCCAAAGGGAUUUCUGUUGGUCUGUAGAAGCUCUGUGGAACAAAAUGCACACCUGUAAGUUAUAUGACACAACCAGUUUCCAUUAUCUUAGUUCAAGGUUUCUUUUUGUGAGGUUAGUUCAAGUUACUCUUCUUUAUUUAGUUGGCUGGACAAAAAAAGCAGUGUGUGGCUAUCUUAAAGUUGCAAUUACCCAAUCGCAGUACACAAUAUACAAUUUUUGUGUAUACUAUAAUCUAGAUGCCUUAACAUGACUAAUAUUUGAUCUUAGGAUGAGACUUCUCUUUUUGUACUAAGAGAGAACCAUGUUCAUUAUGACAUGCAUGUCUAUAUGUUAGAUAUAUGGUCCUAAUGUAUGUUUGGCUUACGACAUAUGGCAAAAUAAAAGAAAAAGAUUGAGGUGACAAAUUUUAAGAGUGCCUAAUAGAGUGGCAUUCUAGGAUAAGGAACAACAAGGAUUUGUCAUGAUAAUUUAUGAUACACUGAACUGAUGUGAGCCUUCCUUUGAUAAAUUAUCAAUCCCAGAAUAUUUAAGUGUUACAUGUGGCUUCCAUCUCAUGCCGAAUUUAAGUUGAUACAAAGCUGGAGGAUGGGGCUACUACAAGAUAGUUUUACAUUUACAUUAUAGAAUGUCAUUUUCAUGGUUAUAUAGGAGAUCAUGUAAUGUCUUCUUCAUUCCAUGUAAUGCAAC